rnacentral:rRNA from 1 species
AACCGGAUUAGAUACCCGGGUAGUCCACGCUGUAAACGAUGUUCACUCGCUGUUUGCGAUACACAGUAAGCGGCUGAGCGAGAGCAUUAAGUGAACCACCUGGGGAGUACGAUCGCAAGGUUGAAACUCAAAGGAAUUGACGGGGGCCCGCACAAGCGGAGGAACAUGUGGUUUAAUUCGAUGAUACGCGAGGAACCUUACCUGGGCUUAAAUGUAGAUUGCAUUUCUGAGAAAUCGGGAUUCCCUUCGGGGCUAUUUACAAGGUGCUGCAUGGUUGUCGUCAGCUCGUGCCGUGAGGUGUCGGGUUAAGUCCCAUAACGAGCGCAACCCCUAUCGUUAGUUGCCAGCGGGUAGAGCCGGGGACUCUAGCGAGACUGCCACCGUAAGGUGAGAGGAAGGUGGGGAUGACGUCAAAUCAGCACGGCCCUUAUGUCCAAGGCUACACACGUGUUACAAUGGCCGAUACAAAGGGCAGCUACUCCGCGAGGAGAUGCUAAUCUCUAAAGUCGGUCCCAGUUCGGAUUGGAGUCUGCAACCCGACUCCAUGAAGUUGGAUUCGCUAGUAAUCGCGCAUCAGCCAUGGCGCGGUGAAUACGUUCCCGGGCCUUGUACACACCGCCCGUCAAACCAUGGGAGCUGGGGGUGCCUGAAGUCUGCCACCGCAAGGAGCGGCCUAGGGUAAAACCAGUGACUGGGGUAAGUCGUAACAAGUACUCUGUCAC